rnacentral:rRNA from 1 species
UACGUAGGUGGCAGGCGUUGUCCGGAUUUACUGGGCGUAAAGGGCGUGCAGGCGGUUUGUUAAGUCUAGGGUGAAAGCUCCCGGCUCAACUGGGAGAGGUCCUUGGAUACUGGCAGACUUGAGGAGGGUAGAGGAGAGUGGAAUUCCCGGUGUAGUGGUGAUAUGCGUAGAUAUCGGGAGGAACACCAGUGGCGAAGGCGGCUCUCUGGGCCCUACCUGACGCUGAGACGCGAAAGCGUGGGGAGCGAACCGG